rnacentral:rRNA from 1 species
AGAGUUUGAUCCUGGCUCAGGAUGAACGCUGGCGGCGUGCUUAACACAUGCAAGUCGAACGAAGCACUUUUACAGAUUUCUUCGGAAUGAAGUUUUAGUGACUGAGUGGCGGACGGGUGAGUAACGCGUGGGUAACCUGCCUCACACAGGGGGAUAACAGUUGGAAACGGCUGCUAAUACCGCAUAAGCGCACAGUACCGCAUGGUACAGUGUGAAAAACUCCGGUGGUGUGAGAUGGACCCGCGUCUGAUUAGCUAGUUGGCAGGGUAACGGCCUACCAAGGCGACGAUCAGUAGCCGACCUGAGAGGGUGACCGGCCACAUUGGGACUGAGACACGGCCCAAACUCCUACGGGAGGCAGCAGUGGGGAAUAUUGCACAAUGGGGGAAACCCUGAUGCAGCGACGCCGCGUGAGCGAAGAAGUAUUUCGGUAUGUAAAGCUCUAUCAGCAGGGAAGAAAAUGACGGUACCUGACUAAGAAGCACCGGCUAAAUACGUGCCAGCAGCCGCGGUAAUACGUAUGGUGCAAGCGUUAUCCGGAUUUACUGGGUGUAAAGGGAGCGCAGGCGGUGCGGCAAGUCUGAUGUGAAAGCCCGGGGCUCAACCCCGGUACUGCAUUGGAAACUGUCGUACUAGAGUGUCGGAGGGGUAAGUGGAAUUCCUAGUGUAGCGGUGAAAUGCGUAGAUAUUAGGAGGAACACCAGUGGCGAAGGCGGCUUACUGGACGAUGACUGACGUUGAGGCUCGAAAGCGUGGGGAGCAAACAGGAUUAGAUACCCUGGUAGUCCACGCCGUAAACG